AUCAUACCCCCUCCAUCCCAAAAAGUUUGACUUACAUUUGACUAGAUACGGAUGUAUCUAGACAUGUUUUAAUGUUAGAUACAUCUGUAUCUAGAUAAAUGUAAGAAAAGAUUUUUGGGGCGGGGUAAUAU
rnacentral:pre_miRNA from 1 species